UUCAGCCUUGAUCCGGCCCGUUUGUAAGAGGGCUUCGGAGGGUUGGGUUCAAAAAGGUCCGGGCUAUAAACGGGUUGUAUGGGAAAUAUGGUGGGGUGGGCUUAAAUAAGGUUGAAGAAAGGGCUCUCUCUUAUUUCCUCUUAUCAUCUGACUCUCUCUCUCCUUCCCAAAAAAAUGUAGAGUUGGCUGCCAUCAAGCUGCUUCUUCAUCUUCAAUCUGAUUUUUUUUUCUCUCUUUUCGUUGCUUGCUUCUUCAUCUUCAAUCUGAUUUUUUUUUUAUUUUCUCUCUCUUCGUUGCUUGCUUCUUCAUCUUCAAUCUGAUUUUUUUUAUUUUCUCUCUCUUCGUUGUUUGCUUCUUCAUCUUCAAUCUGAUUUUUUUUUAUUUUCUCUCUCUUCGCUGCUUGCUUCUUCAUCUUCCUCUUCCAUUUCUUUUUUCUUUUGUAAAUUUGGGAUUUUUUUUAUGAUACAAAAACAAUUUUUUCAAAAGGUCUGGGAGUUUUAAUCGUAGGUGUUAAUUAAAUUUAUUUAUUUAUUGUUUUGAUUGAGGUGAAUUUGUGCCUUUUAAUUAGUACCUCUAAUUUGACAUACUUUGUAAUUUUACAGUAAAUGAAAAGUUUGAGAAGUUUACUAACACCUUUGCAAUAUUCUUGAAAUGGGCUCGGGUUGGGCCGGGUCUCACGGGCUUCGACCCGGCCAGGCUCGUUGCUGUUUAAACUAUAGCCCGUCCCGACCCAACCCAUCUCACUUCAGCCCGGCCCGGCCUGAACCCGGCCCGUUGAACAGUCCUAUUUUAGAGGAAGUAGAACUUCUUAGGAAGUGCAAAUUCCCAGGGUUUUGUCAACCAAACAACUUCAUAUAUUUCUACUUCCUAGGAAUUUGCACUUCCCAUGAUUUGUUUUGUCAACCAAACAAGACCUCAUUUGUAAAAGAUCUCUCAUGCAUUAACGAUCCAUUUGUUAAUUGGUUAUAAAAUAGUGGUAAUAAGAAUUAAUUUGUAUAUAAAUUUGUAAAAAUGAUUAUUGUUUAUUUUCAUGUUAAUGCUAUUUAUCCUAUAAUGUAACACCACGUAAUUUUCACUCAUUAUUUUUGGUGUUGUCUACAUUAAAAUGACAUUUUCUAUUAAAAUAAAAUAAUUUAUUAUUAAAAACUAUUUUUUUUAAGUGUAUAAUUAUUUAUAUUGUGUUAUGUUGUUGUGAUUAUUGAUUUAUAGUGUAUAUAAUGUGCGUAUUUAUUUUAUCAUAUAGUUAGUAAUUCGAUAAAUUUAGGUAGCGUGUGAUUUUAGUUUUUAAGUGUUGUAUAUAGUAUGGGUCGACCAACAUAAAGAAUUCUUUAUCCUUCUUAUGUUGUCCAAAAUUUUAGAGGAGAACUAUUAAGCAUAGUAUUAGCAUCUUCUAUCUAUCCCUCUUUGUAACCACCAAAAGGUGAAGAGCCAUUCCCCCCAUUAACCCAUCUUAAUGCAAUUAAACCUUUGCUUAUAAUAUGAACCAUCUCAUCAUUUUUUUUUUGCUGCACUAAAACAAAAACUCCCUUCACGCCACCUUCUCCCUUCUCGCAUUUUCGGCCAUUUCUGCACACCAAUCUUGUUUGCCUCAUAUCUCUUUCGUCUCUUAUCGGAAUUGGACGUGUGAGUAUUCGAAAUUCAUCUAAUCGGAGAGAUCUUGCUCGUGGUGUCAUUCGUUUUUGAAGAUACUGGAAGAAUUGGUCGCAGUUUCUGUUUCAAUCAGACGGGUCACCCGGUUUUGUUUUCCUAUCGUACCUUCACGAAAAUGACUAUCACCGGAGAUCUAACCGUUGGAUCUCCCUGAAAUUUGGACAAAAUGUUUAGGACAUCUGGGCAUUCAUUAUGACCGGAGAGAUUUUAAAUCAGAGCUACACAUUGACGGGAAUCGAGAUCGGAGCAGAGCAGUACGUGAUAAAAAUGCAAGCAAUUGGAGGUCUUCAAAGGAUUUGCUGAUGAGAAUCUUUUUUUGGUUUUGGGCUCGGGUUGAGUUGUGAGCAUUAAAAUGUUAGAGGUUUUAGGCCUAGACUCUUAUAUUAAUUUAAGAGUUAGUUUAUUCUUUUGGUUAUCAAUUUAAUUUAUUUAUACUAUUUAUUUAUGUUGGUUUUAUCACUUAGAUAAUUAAACGCAUUUCUUGUAGUAGUGACAUUCCCAGAAGACGAUGUUUCCGCCAUCGUCCUAUACUUCUAUUAUUAUUAUUUCUUUAUUUUCUGCUUUAAAA